UUAAUUAAUCAGGGUCUUUACAUGUUUGAAUUUAGUAAACAUUAUAGUAAACAGUAUCCUCUAUUCUCAACAGAUCAGUUUCUCAAAAUGAUGUUCAAAAGGGGAUAGAGUUAGUAUGUGACUCAAUUAGAACCAAGAAAUCCCACAUAUCCAGUGUAGCAGUUUCAAGCAAAAUGAGAUCACGAUACCGUGCAAAGAUUGAAGCAGACA